CAGGUACAGAGGGAUGCUACCGGGCGACCGGAUGCGGAUCUCGAAAGCCUGUCCCAGUUCGGACUGGAGUCUGCAACCCGACUCCACGAAGUUGGAUUCGCUAGUAAUCGCGCAUCAGCCAUGGCGCGGUGAAUACGUUCCCGGGCCUUGUACACACCGCCCGUCAAGCCAUGGGAGCCGGGGGCGCCUGAAGUCCGGGACCGCGAGGACCGGCCUAGGGCGAAACUGGUAACUGGAGCUAAGUCGUAACAAGGUAAC
rnacentral:rRNA from 1 species